CAACAGGGAUUGCCUUAGUAACGGCGAGUGAAGCGGCAAUAGCUCAAAUUUGAAAGCUGGCGUCUUCGACGUCCGCGUUGUAAUUUGUAGAGGAUGCUUCGGCGAGGACUCCUGCCUAAGUCCCCUGGAACGGGGCGUCACAGAGGGUGAGAAUCCCGUAUGUGGCGGGCAGUCCAAGCCAUGUGAAGCUCCUUCGACGAGUCGAGUUGUUUGGGAAUGCAGCUCUAAAUGGGAGGUAAAUUUCUUCUAAAGCUAAAUAUUGGCCAGAGACCGAUAGCGCACAAGUAGAGUGAUCGAAAGAUGAAAAGCACUUUGGAAAGAGAGUUAAAAAGUACGUGAAAUUGUUGAAAGGGAAGCGCUUGCAACCAGACUCGCUCGCAGUUGCUCAGCCGGCCUCUUGGCCGGUGUACUCUUCUGCGAUCGGGCCAGCAUCAGUUCGGGCGGCCGGAUAAAGGUGUCGGGAAUGUAGCACCCUUCGGGGUGUGUUAUAGCCCGGCGCGGAAUGCGGCCAGCCUGGACUGAGGAUCUCGCUUCGGCAAGGAUGCUGGCGUAAUGGUUGUAAGCGG
rnacentral:rRNA from 1 species